CCCAGUGAACAAUUAAACGGCCGCGGUACCCUAACCGUGCAAAGGUAGCAUAAUCAUUUGUCUACUAAUUAUAGACCUGUAUGAAAGGCAAAAUGAGGGUUUGACUGUCUCUUAUAAUAAAUCAAUUAAACUGAUCUCCUAGUAAAAAAGCUAGAAUUACCACAUAAGACCAGAAGACCCUGUGAAGCUUAAACUACACUAUUAAACCACAUAAUAGCCACUUUCGGUUGGGGCGACCUUGGAAAAAAAAAGAACUUCCAAUCAACCAUAACUACUCAUGACCAUUAGGCCUACAAGCCAACAAACGACCCAGCAUCGCUGAUCAACGAACCAAGUUACUCCAGGGAUAACAGCGCAAUCCUCUUCAAGAGCCCAUAUCAAAAAGAGGGUUUACGACCUCGAUGUUGGAUCAGGACAUCCUAA
rnacentral:rRNA from 1 species